UACAGGGGGUGCUAGCGUUGUUCGGAAUUACUGGGCGUAAAGGGCGCGUAGGCGGUCUUGCAAGUCAGGGGUGAAAUCCCGGAGCUUAACUCCGGAAUUGCUUUUGAUACUGUGAGGCUAGAGUGAGUUAGAGGAUGGCGGAAUUCCUAGUGUAGUGGUGAAAUACGUAGAUAUUAGGAAGAACACCGGUGGCGAAGGCGGCCAUCUGGGACUCAACUGACGCUGAGGCGCGAAAGCGUGUGGAUCAAACAGG
rnacentral:rRNA from 1 species